rnacentral:rRNA from 1 species
AUAGAAAUAUUUAAUAAUACCGAAUGUGCUCGUUUACAUAAAGGUAGAUGAGGAAAGGGAGCUACGGCUCCGCUUUAGGAUGGGCCCGCGUCCCAUUAGCUAGUUGGUGAGGUAACGGCUCACCAAGGCAACGAUGGGUAUCCGGCCUGAGAGGGUGAACGGACACAUUGGGACUGAGAUACGGCCCAAACUCCUACGGGAGGCAGCAGCUAAGAAUCUUCCGCAAUGGACGAAAGUCUGACGGAGCGACGCCGUGUGAAUGAAGAAGGCCGAAAGGUUGUAAAAUUCUUUUGCAGAUGAAGAAUAAGGAUAAGAGGGAAUGCUUGUCCGAUGACGGUAGUUAUGCGAAUAAGCCCCGGCUAAUUACGUGCCAGCAGCCGCGGUAACACGUAAGGGGCGAGCGUUGUUCGGAAUUAUUGGGCGUAAAGGGCAUGUAGGCGGUUAGGUAAGCCUGAUGUGAAAUCUACGAGCUUAACUCGUAAAACUGCAUUGGGUACUGCUUGACUUGAAAUCACGGAGGGGAAAACCGGAAUUCCAGAGUGUAAGGGGUGGGAA